AACAUCGACCUUACAUGGAACAACAUUCCCGUCUUGCCUCCCCUUGUCUAUCGUUCGUUGAUCGAAAAUACGGAAUGAUUAGCGAAACGAAUCGGCAUCACUGGUAGUUGCUUUUUCUUCAACGGUAAACUGUCAUCUUAUACAAAACAAAUGGAACAUACAACUGAUAGUCUUUGGCAAAUUUAUUUAUCUAUUACAUAUCGUUGCAAGCAGAAGAGAAUCCGCUGCAACUCAUUUCCAGCCUGCGAACACUAUUCGAAAAAUUGAUUCCCCUUCAGCGUCAGCGCCAGAAGAAAAUACGAAAGGUGAAUUUUGGAUUGAUAUUUUUCGGAGAAGGAGCUUGCAAGAAGUUGAUUGGAGACCACAGUUUCGGACUCAACAUGUUUUUCGGCCGUUAGCGAAGCCCGUAGACCAUGACAAACAAGUUGGCAAACACAUGAACUCGUGUGUUACAAUCGGUUCGAAAACAUACCGCCGUCUAGCUAUUCGGUGAAACCGGCUGAGAUUCCUGAUUAUUAUAAUUAUAUCAAAUACCCGAUGGAUUUAAAAACGAUGGGGGAAAGACUGAAAAAUAG